UGGUGAGGCAGGCAGGGACCAGAGGAGACCUUCAUGGUUAUUUUCUGGAGCCCGUGGAGCCGGCCCCCCGGUGGACGGUGCAGCUGGCGGCCACCAGGCCACGUCCCCUCAGAGGGUUUCACCAUUGGUCUCUUCCUCAUGGGACUAUCGAUGGCAUGAGGAAUGGGAAUGGAAUAUUAUGCAGUCAUGGGAG